GUUGAAUUUCUCGGGUUUUCAGUGAUUCUCGCUCUGCUGUUGUCAUGUCCGACACUAUGCUCGGCUGGACUAGAAGUUGGAUUUUCCCCUCUCAUAACAAGAACUCUGAUGAUAGGUACAAUUUCAUAUCUGACAUUCUGAUGACCUGGAACAUGCUUCCUGAAUUCUGAAUUGAUUGACACUCCAAUAUUCAUGCUCAACUCAAAUAUCACUUCCUCUUGGAAGCCCUCUGGGACUGUGCCAUGCACAAUUUGCCCACCUCCAUUGUUCACUACAUCCCAUUGCAUUUGCCUUUUCAGAGUGCCCUUUCCAAUCGAAAACACACUCUCUCUCUCUCUCUCUCUCUCUCUCUCUCUCUCUCUCUCUCUCCUCUCUCCUCUCUCCUCUCUCCUCUCUCCCUCCCUCUCUCCCUCCCUCUCUCCCUCCCUCCCUCCCUCCCUCUCUCCCUCUCCCUCUCUCUCCGUUUCCCCCCUCCUGCCUUAGCUCUGUUUGCCAUACUGACUGGACUGUACUCUAGGACUGACCACCUGAAUGCCAGUGUCUGUCUUUGUGCAUUUAACUGGAUUCCUAAAGAGGCAAAGAGUUUGGGAGAGAGGCAGAUAUCACUGGAAAGGUGCAUGGAGGGGCUGGUUUUAGGGGCUGGUUCAGUCAGUAAAGUUCUUGACACAUAAGCAGGAGACCCAAGUUUAGAUCUUCAGCAUCUGCAAAAGAUGUGGGUAUCACAAUGGCCACCCUCAACGCUAGCACUGAGGGGGAGGAGAGAAGGGCGGGGCAGGGCCCCAAAGCCUAAGGGGUAGCUUUAGCCAAUCAGGGAGCUUCAAGCUCAUUGAUCGACCUCAAGAGCUGAUGUUGACUUAUAGCCUGUACAUGCUCACACAUAUCUGCACAUACGCCUGCCGUGCACACAUACACACAGAGACAUGGACAGGAAGGAGGCCGUCUUACUGAGAAGAACUUACUUAUGAAAGCAUUUCAGAUGCACAAACCACAACCAUGUGGCAGAGGCUGACCCACUGCUCUGUGUGUUCUAGUGGGGGAUGUGCAGAAUGAAAUCUCCCCUGCAGCCGUGGGUGGAACACACCUAUUGUGUCAGGUCUUCAUGCCGCCACCUGAGCUGUUCUUGGCAGCUGUUUUAUGCAUUCAUGACUGUGGACAGAGUGACAAAGCCAUUUAUAUGUCAAGAAAAAAAAUCACCCAGUGAUCUUCUGUGUAUUGUCUUCUGAGAGAAUACUUAGUUCUCAACACCUGCCAAACAAGAGCCACUGCCAAAAAAGACAUAGAAAUAAAAGGCUUGAAAGAAAUCAUGGGGAAAAAAAGAUCGGAAUGAAGCAGCUUCCUGAUUGCCAGCACUACGCAUGCGCACUUAGAGCCACUGCGCACUUUUCUUCCACGAAGACAAUGAAGCGACUGAAGAAAGCUGCUGGGAUUCAGAACAGCCGAAGUAAAAAGGACAGAAGGGUUAAUAACAGAUGAUCUCACAGAUCUACCUUACCUACCGUGGAACCUUUAAGCAUUACCCACAACCCAAAGGAGGCUGUCAUAAUGUCGCCACCCCGGAAGUGGUCCCUUCACGCAGCUCUUUGACUAAGGAAUACGUCCCCUGUGUUCCUGCCAACCCGCCAGAGGUGACAAAACCUGCAACCCCCUCCCCUACCUCCCUCCAGUGAGGGAGCAAAUGCAGAGAUCGCUAGUUACCUCCUUAAACUUGCAGUCAACGCCUCUACAACCACAAUUGGAUUCCUGUUGCCUCUACAACCACAAUUGGAUUCCUGUUACUACCUCCCUAGAGUGGUCAGCGGCAGGUGAGCGUCUGUGUGCGCACGCGCAUCAAACUGUAAAGCUGGAGCCAAGCAAGAUGGUGCCCUGUGCCUUCAUUUCGUUUGCCUCUGUCAAUCUGCCCUCACGAAAACAAAAUGACGCUCCAAAGCGAUCACCGAUCACCGCAUAAAAUAAAAAUGGAGAUCACACAGGAGAGGUGGAUUCACAUUAAAGGAGAAACCUCGGAAGAAAACUAAAACCAAAUCCGAAGCCUUUGUGACGUCCAUCAGGGAAAACUCAAAGGCAAGAGUGCUUCUUAAGAAGGUCUGUGCCAUAGCACACUGAAGAGAGAUGAAGGUGGGAGAAAUCACCAGUUCCGUGAUAUCCUGGGCUGAGGACGGAGUCUUUAAAAAACAAACAAACAAACAAACAAACAAACAAAAAACCAAAGUAAAAUAGUAUAAAGCAAACAAAAAGACUCCUCUGUAGAAGGAAUUAAGGAAGACAGUGUUUCUCUUUUCCCCUGGUGGGGAGGCGGGGCGUCACAAAAGAAGGUCAGGAAGAAACAGGUCACUCCAACCAGCUUGUGAGACACUGAGAGAGAUCUCCUCCUAGAACAGGCAGCAAACAUGUUGUUCCAAGCAGAGAACAGAGAGGGAAGAGGUGGUCAGGGAGAUGGAAGGUCAGAAUAGAAUUCUUCACACUCAGGGACACUUGAGGUCAUGGGGACCUGAACUUUAGCUGUUUAAAAAGCCUUGACGGCUGGACAGUAAUCCAGCCCCCCAUUUCGAAGGUCUCCACGAGAGAACUUUUAGCCUAGGAUGGGAGGAAAUGUUUAUUUUGCCAACAGUAAAUUCUUAUGGUAAUUCAAUGACGUAAGGGAAAUCGUCCAUACUUUUUUCCCCCUUAAAGAAGAUAAACAGAAGGAAAUCCGAUCUGCCCGCCCCUAACUGCCAGGAUAGAGGUGGAUGGCGAAGACCAUGAGGCCGAGGGGGUUGGAGACCGCUCUGUCUUCUUUGCCACCUGCCCACAAGUCCUGUUUAUCUUCUCUAUAAAUACUCCAGUCAGGUUAUAUUUUUGAUACCUGCCACUUGACACUCAUCUGGUGACAAGACUGUUAGACCAAUAUAUUCAGCCAGGGAUAUGCAUUCUGAAGAAGGUUCCAGAAUGAUGGCGACCUUGUCCUACAUGUUGCAGUUAAGCACAGCCUCUCACCUACUACUGCUGGUCCGUCUCUGCCGGUCCGUCUCUGCUGGUCCGCUUGCAUUAUUUCCUGUGGCAAAGUCAAUAUGGGAAUUAAUAAUAGCUUUCUGAUCUACAAAUAAAAGCACGCCACUUUAAA